UUACGCGAAGACCUUACCAGGCCUUGACAUGGUAGUCGUACGACUAGGAGACUAGUUGGUCAGUUCGGCUGGACUAUCACAGGUGUUGCAUGGCUGUCGUCAGCUCGUGUCGUGAGAUGUUGGGUUAAGUCCCGCAACGAGCGCAACCCUUAUCCUUAGUUACCAGCGGGUUAUGCCGGGCACUCUAAGGAAACUGCCGGUGAUAAACCGGAGGAAGGUGGGGAUGAUGUCAAGUCAGCAUGGCCCUUACGGCCUGGGCUACACACGUGUUACAAUGGUGGUGACAAUGAGACGCAAUAGGGCGACCUGGAGCAAAUCUAUAAAAGCCACCUCAGUUCGGAUUGCACUCUGCAACUCGGGUGCAUGAAGUCGGAAUCGCUAGUAAUCGCAGAUCAGCACGCUGCGGUGAAUACGUUCCCGGGUCUUGUACACACCG
rnacentral:rRNA from 1 species